GACGAACGCUGGCGGCGUGCCUAAUACAUGCAAGUUGAGCGAUGAAGAAUGGUGCUUGCACCAAUUUGAAGAGCAGCGAACGGGUGAGUAACGCGUGGGGAAUCUGCCUUUGAGCGGGGGACAACAUUUGGAAACGAAUGCUAAUACCGCAUAAUAACUUUAAACAUAAGUUUUAAGUUUGAAAGAUGCAAUUGCAUCACUCAAAGAUGAUCCCGCGUUGUAUUAGCUAGUUGGUGAGGUAAAGGCUCACCAAGGCGAUGAUACAUAGCCGACCUGAGAGGGUGAUCGGCCACAUUGGGACUGAGACACGGCCCAAACUCCUACGGGAGGCAGCAGUAGGGAAUCUUCGGCAAUGGACGAAAGUCUGACCGAGCAACGCCGCGUGAGUGAAGAAGGUUUUCGGAUCGUAAAACUCUGUUGGUAGAGAAGAACGUUGGUGAGAGUGGAAAGCUCAUCAAGUGACGGUAACUACCCAGAAAGGGACGGCUAACUACGUG
rnacentral:rRNA from 1 species